UAUGUUCAUGUUGGAGAAGUGGCCCAUUAUUCAGGCAUUUGCUCUGGAAGGAAUUGGAGCUGGUGGUUUUUUCACCAUGAAAUACAAGCUGACUGAUAUGAGUGAGAGUCUUUGGGAGAUUUAUACAAGACUAGACCCGGUGUCUUUGGACUAUCUGCUCAGUGAGGAUUUGCUGUUGUUUGAGAAGCAGUGGAGCUGCUUGUUUACCAGUGUGAACACAGAGAGCCC